rnacentral:misc_RNA from 1 species
CCGAGUUUACAACUCCCAAACCCCUGUGAACAUACCACUUUGUUGCCUCGGCGGAUCAGCCCGCUCCCGGUAAAACGGGACGGCCCGCCAGAGGACCCCUAAACUCUGUUUCUAUAUGUAACUUCUGAGUAAAACCAUAAAUAAAUCA